GGUAAGGUGGCCGAGGAGGCGGCAGGUUGUAGCCCUGUUUACGUGGGUUUAGCCCCACCUUUACCAAGUUUUAAAUA
rnacentral:tRNA from 1 species